rnacentral:rRNA from 16 species
CCGCUUAGGAGUGUGUAACAACCCACCUGCCGAAGCGGGCAGCUUCGAAAAUGGAUGAUGCUCAAGCCAGAGGCGUUGUUUGACUUACACCGCGCCGCUGCUGUGGCAGCAGGGCAGGUGCAGCAGUGCGUAGGCGAGACGCAAGGGUUCGCGGUGCUGGCUCCGGGGUGACCCGGAGGGAAGUAUCCCUUGGUGCAGAUCUUGGUUGCAGUAGCGAGUAUUCUUUCUGGUGGCUCAUGCAGGCUCUCUCUUGCAGAGGCCUGCUGCUGGCCUGAGUGGUUGAGGACUGGAGUGGAGCAGGCUUCCAUACCAACAGUCGUUGAAUAUGGGUCAGUCGAUUGUAAGCCAGAUGGCAAUGCUCACGGAUACGGCAAAGGCUGCAAAGUUCGGGGCCUCUGGCUCCGGGUCGCCCGUCCCGCGGCUGGCGCCGUGCUGGUCCCCCACUGGGUGCCAUGGGGUGCGCGGCGCUGUGCCCUUCGGGUGAAGCUCGGUGCCAGGGCUCUGCCUUGCAGGAGUGGCGAACAGGCAGACGAAUCUAAUAUUCCGACACGCUGGUACCAGGGUCUUGGCUGAUGAUACUCAGAACGCUUUCUCGGAGAGAUUGCUGGGAAGGGCCAGUGGCAACGCUGGUGUUCUCAAGUCCGGUGCUGCGGGGCCGCGUCUCGGUGGCGCCCCUGUGGAGUUGUCUUUUCCAUCUGACAGCUGGAGUGUGUGGGCUAUCCACUGACAUGCUGCAUGGCGACAUAGCUCUCUGCUUGGCAAGAUGGUGCUGCAUUGGUACCAUUGGACUUACGCGUGCCCUGCUCUGAGGGUUUGGCCUCGGCCGACCCGGAAUGCGCCAUGCCUUUGGUGGCCACCGACUCCAUGGAACGCCCUGCAAAGUUGUGCAACAAAGCGUGAACCCUUGGUGACCAAACCGGGACAAGCCCCCAUCUGGGGGCUCUGAUCCGAUUGGAAUGGCUCCGUACCGAAUCACCGCAGCUGGUCUCUUCGGCUAGACGCCGCUGGUCAACAGUGCAAAUGCAGCUAAGGGAAAUCGGCAAACUGGUUGUGUACCUUCGGAAGAUGCGGUGGCUCCAAGGGCCAGGGUGUCAGGCCUGCCCGUCGGGAUUGCACGGAACCCUCCGGGGCUUGGUUGUCCUGUGCCAGGGCUGGCUUCCCAGCCGUCCUCUGGCCGUGGGCGUCCAGGCCCCACCUCAGCCGAAGGCCGCUUCUCCAGCGGGCGUGAUCCUUGUGCCUCGGAACGGCCAAGCACGCCCCGCCGCGGCUCUUGGGUGGAGGCACGGAGCUUUGGGUGUGCAAAGAAGAGAGGCUGUGCCUUCGGGUGCGGCCUGGCUUCAGUUCCCGUGGGCGGGGAGAUGGCCGACCUGAGACGUCGGCCCCAUCCGUGGCACCCACGUGUGGUCUACUCGGAACUGUGUACUACGCAGGGGAAUCUGACUGUUUAAUUGAAACAUAGCUUUGCGAUGGGACCUGCUGGCUGGUUCCGCGAGGUGACUUCUGCCCAGUGCUCUGAUUGUCAAUGCAAAGAGAUUUAGCCAAGCGCGGGUAAACGGCGGGAGUAACUAUGACU